AGGACGAACGCUGGCGGCGUGCUUAACACAUGCAAGUCGAGCGGUAAGGCCUUUCGGGGUACACGAGCGGCGAACGGGUGAGUAACACGUGGGUGGUCUGCCCUGCACUCUGGGAUAAGCCUAGGGAAACUGGGUCUAAUACCGGAUAUGACCUGCUCUCGCAGUGGGGGGUGGUGGAAAGUAUUUAUCGGUGCAGGAUCGGGCCCGCGGCCUAUCAGUCGUUGUUGGGUAGGGUAACUGGCCUAACCGAAGGCGACGGACGGGUACGCCGACCUGAGGAGGGUGACCGGCCAC
rnacentral:rRNA from 1 species